GAUGAACGCUGGCGGCGUGCCUAAUACAUGCAAGUCGAGCGAACAGAUAAGGAGCUUGCUCCUUUGACGUUAGCGGCGGACGGGUGAGUAACACGUGGGUAACCUACCUAUAAGACUGGGAUAACUUCGGGAAACCGGAGCUAAUACCGGAUAACAUUUGGAACCGCAUGGUUCUAAAGUGAAAGAUGGUUUUGCUAUCACUUAUAGAUGGACCCGCGCCGUAUUAGCUAGUUGGUAAGGUAACGGCUUACCAAGGCAACGAUACGUAGCCGACCUGAGAGGGUGAUCGGCCACACUGGAACUGAGACACGGUCCAGACUCCUACGGGAGGCAGCAGUAGGGAAUCUUCCGCAAAGGGCGAAAGCCUGACGGAGCAACGCCGCGUGAGUGAUGAAGGGUUUCGGCUCGUAAAACUCUGUUACUAGGGAAGAACAAAUGUGUAAGUAACUGUGCACGUCUUGACGGUACCUAAUCAGAAAGCCACGGCUAACUACGUG
rnacentral:rRNA from 1 species